CGGGAUUCCUGUCGGCGACCUC
rnacentral:miRNA from 1 species